rnacentral:rRNA from 1 species
GCCUACGGGAGGCAGCAGUGGGGAAUAUUGGGCAAUGGGCGCAAGCCUGACCCAGCAACGCCGCGUGAAGGAAGAAGGCUUUCGGGUUGUAAACUUCUUUUCUGAGGGACGAAGAAAGUGACGGUACCUGAGUAAGAAGCCCCGGCUAACUACGUGCCAGCAGCCGCGGUAAUACGUAGGUGGCAAGCGUUAUCCGGAUUUACUGGGUGUAAAGGGCGUGUAGGCGGGGACGCAAGUCAGAUGUGAAAACCACGGGCUCAACCUGUGGCCUGCAUUUGAAACUGUGUUUCUUGAGUACUGGAGAGGCAGACGGAAUUCCUAGUGUAGCGGUGAAAUGCGUAGAUAUUAGGAGGAACACCAGUGGCGAAGGCGGUCUGCUGGACAGCAACUGACGCUGAGGCGCGAAAGCGUGGGGAGCAAACAGGAUUAGAUACCCUAGUAGUC